UACGUAGGGGGCAAGCGUUGUCCGGAUUUAUUGGGCGUAAAGAGCGUGUAGGCGGCCUGACAGGUCUGCUGUGAAAACUCGAGGCUCAACCUCGAGAUGUCGGCGGAAACCGUCUGGCUAGAGUCCGGAAGAGGAGAGUGGAAUUCCUGGUGUAGCGGUGAAAUGCGCAGAUAUCAGGAAGAACACCUAUGGCGAAGGCAGCUUACUGGGCAUUAUCUGACGCUGAGGAGCGAAAGCGUGGGGAGCGAACAGG
rnacentral:rRNA from 1 species